UACGGAGGGUGCAAGCGUUAUCCGGAUUCACUGGGUUUAAAGGGUGCGUAGGUGGGUAAGUAAGUCAGCGGUGAAAUCUCCGAGCUUAACUCGGAAACUGCCAUUGAUACUAUUUAUCUUGAAUAUUCUGGAGGUGAGCGGAAUAUGUCAUGUAGCGGUGAAAUGCUUAGAUAUGACAUAGAACACCAAUUGCGAAGGCAGCUCACUACGGAGUCAUUGACGCUGAGGCACGAAAGCGUGGGGAUCAAACAGGAUUAGAAACCCUCGUAGUCC
rnacentral:rRNA from 1 species